UGACAGUACUCCUACGGGGAGGCAGCAGUGGGGGAAUAUUGCACAAUGGGCGCAAGCCUGAUGCAGCCAUGCCGCGUGUAUGAAGAAGGCCUUCGGGUUGUAAAGUACUUUCAGCAGUGAGGAAGGUGGGGUAUGUUAAUAGCAUAUUCAUUUGACGUUAGCUGCAGAAGAAAGCACCGGCUAACUCCGUGCCAGCAGCCGCGGUAAUACGGAGGGUGCGAGCGUUAAUCGGAAUUACUGGGCGUAAAGCGCAUGCAGGUGGUUUGUUAAGUCAGAUGUGAAAGCCCGGGGCUCAACCUCGGAAUUGCAUUUGAAACUGGCAAACUAGAGUACUGUAGAGGGGGGUAGGAAUUUCAGGUGUAGCGGUGAAAUGCGUAGAGAUCUGAAGGAAUACCGGUGGCGAAGGCGGCCCCCUGGACAGAUACUGACACUCAGAUGCGAAAGCGUGGGGAGCAAACAGGAUUAGAUACCCUGGUAG
rnacentral:rRNA from 1 species